rnacentral:rRNA from 1 species
ACAACGGAGAGUUUGAUCCUGGCUCAGAACGAACGCUGGCGGCGUGGAUUAGGCAUGCAAGUCGAACGUGAAAGUACUGAAGGGGUAACCCGGAUGUACGAGUAAAGUGGCGAACGGGUGAGUAACGCGUGGGAAACCUGCUCCUGGGCGGGGGAUAACAGCUCUAACGGGCUGCUAAUACCGCAUGACGCCACGGAUCUCAUGAUUCGUGGUUAAAGGAGGCCUCUAUUUAUAAGCUUCCUCCUGGGAAUGGUCCCGCGUUCUAUUAGCUUGUUGGUGGGGUAAUGGCCUACCAAGGCGACGAUGGAUAGCCGGCCUGAGAGGGUGGUCGGCCACACUGGGACUGAGAUACGGCCCAGACUCCUACGGGAGGCAGCAGUCGAGAGGCUUCGGCAAUGGGGGAAACCCUGACCGAGCGACGCCGCGUGGGUGAUGAAGAUUCUCGGAUCGUAAAACCCUGUCAGGUGGGAUGAAAAAUCAUUCGGCUAAUACCCGAGUGACAUGACAGUACCACCAGAGGAAGCUCCGGCCAACUCCGUGCCAGCAGCCGCGGUAACACGGGGGGAGCAAGCGUUGUUCGGAUUCAUUGGGCGUAAAGAGCUCGUAGGCGGCUCUGUAAGUCGGGGGUGAAAGACCACAGCUCAACUGUGGAACCGCCCUCGAUACUGUGGAGCUUGAGGCUGGGAGAGGAAAGUGGAAUUCCUGGUGUAGCGGUGAAAUGCGUAGAUAUCAGGAGGAACACCGGUGGCGAAGGCGACUUUCUGGACCAGUUCUGACGCUGAGGAGCGAAAGCUAGGGGAGCAAACAGGAUUAGAUACCCUGGUAGUCCUAGCUGUAAACGAUGGGCACUAGGUGUGGGGGGAUCGACCCCUUCCGUGCCGCAGUUAACGCAUUAAGUGCCCCGCCUGGGGAGUACGACCGCAAGGUUGAAACUCAAAGGAAUUGACGGGGGCCCGCACAAGCGGUGGAGCAUGUGGUUUAAUUCGAUGAUACGCGAAGAACCUUACCGGGGCUUGACAUGCAGCUGAAGGUUCGUGGAAACACGGGCCGUCCCUUACGGGACGGUUGCACAGGUGCUGCAUGGCUGUCGUCAGCUCGUGUCGUGAGAUGUUGGGUUAAGUCCCGCAACGAGCGCAACCCUUGUCUUUAGUUGCCAUCAGGUCAAGCUGGGCACUCUAGAGAGACUGCCGGUGAUAAACCGGAGGAAGGUGGGGAUGACGUCAAGUCAUCAUGGCCCUUACGUCCCGGGCUACACACGUGCUACAAUGGCAGGUACAGAGGGCUGCGAACUCGCGAGAGUGAGCGAAUCCCAAAAAGCCUGUCUCAGUUCGGAUUACAGUCUGCAACUCGACUGUAUGAAGUUGGAAUCGCUAGUAAUCGCAGAUCAGCAGGCUGCGGUGAAUACGUUCCCGGGCCUUGUACACACCGCCCGUCAAGUCAACCGAGUCGAGUGCACCCGAAGUCGCUGCACGAACCCGCAAGGGACGAAAGCGCCGAAGGUGUGCUUGGUGAGAGGGACUAAGUCGUAACAAGGUAGCCGUACUGGAAAGUGCGGCUGGAUCACCUCCUUU